rnacentral:rRNA from 1 species
UACGUAGGGUGCGAGCGUUGUCCGGAAUUAUUGGGCGUAAAGGGCUCGUAGGCGGUUUGUCGCGUCGGGAGUGAAAUCCACUGGCUUAACUGGUGGCUUGCUUUCGAUACGGGCAGACUGGAGGUAUGCAGGGGAGAACGGAAUUCCUGGUGUAGCGGUGAAAUGCGCAGAUAUCAGGAGGAACACCGACGGCGAAGGCAGGUCUCUGGGCCACUACUGACGCUGAGAAGCGAAAGCGUGGGGAGCGAACAGG